AUUUAGCCGUUCCUCAAUUCCAAAUAUUUAAUUACCAAUAGGAAACUUGCCGAAUUUCAAGUUGAUUCGGCAAUUUCUCAAAACUUUAGCCUGCUAACAAUUUUUUUUUUGAAAAACCAGAACAAUUGGAAUGUCUCAUGAACUACUGAGCCGAUUCAGUUAUUCUUUAAUACCAAACAUUUCAUUGCUAAGAGGAAGUUUCAUGCCAAAUUUCACAUUCAUGAAUGAAUUUUUCGCUACGUUACCGUGCUAACAAACUUUUUGUGCUUUUUGGACAAAGCAGAAAAAUUAAAAUAUCUCGAAAACUUAGUCACAAUAGAUAUACAUAUUUUGAUUGAUUGAAAUAGUAUACAUCGAGACGAAUAUUUUGACAGGUGAAAAGUUGAAAUCGAUUGGAUAGUUUUCGCGAUAUUUGCGGCAACUAAUUCAGAAACAAAUGGCCAUUUAUGGAAAACGGCUGAACCAAUCAGCCUGAAUUUUGGCACAGACUUACUUUAUAGUAAUACCUGUACUUAUAAUCUAUUUUAUAUAUUAUAUUUUAAUUUAUAUUAUAAAUAAUUUUAGCCGUUUAUUCCUUUAAUUUUCUAAGAGUGCUCCGAGUUGGCCUUGUACGCAUAUACACAUGUGUUCAAAUUUUGUAUUUUUACGUUUCAGAUCAUUCUACAUCACUUCCAAGCAGAAUUACAAAAUUUGAAAAUUUGACGAUUAUGAAGCUUCUAUUCGAAAGCAAAAAUUUGAAUACAGCUCCGAUUCAAUAUUAACAUGAGUAAAUAAUGCUAAUUAUUGAUUAAAACAGCGGAAUGGUUGCAUUGAGCAAAAGGUCGUGGCGACGUUAGUUAUUUAGUCGAAUGAUAUGCAAAUGUAGAACGUUAUAUCUUUGUUUUAAAUAUUUUUGGGUCAUGUGAACAUAACAGAUGAUAUUGGAAAAGGGUUUUUCUAUAUUUUUAUCCAAUUUUGCGCAAGGUUGUAUGCAGGGCUUUUUCGCAAUUUUAAUUAAACGACGCAAAAGAUCGUGCUGGUAUUUCUUCAUAUUUUCAUUCGUCAGAUUCCCUUUUUCCGUCCUAGGCGUGAAAUAUACUAUUUUGCCAUGGCUACGAUACUAUUUUAUGUAAUUGUGGCCGAAAUCACGAGUGUAACUGAGCGAAGAGAGGUUAGAAACAUGUUUUAUUGAACGCAAUGACAUCGAAAUAUUUCACUCGGUGAAUAACACUAUUAAAUUCAAUCUGUCAAUUUCAAUCAGCGGUUAACGUAAUCCAACAGUUUUUUGUAUCAUCUAUGGAUGAUUCCACGGAAAUAGUGAUUACCACGAAAUCACUCUUUUCAUCAUCAUUACCAGAUAACAUUCUUGGAGAUGAAUAACUUUUCAGAGUAUGUGAUUUACCAGUUGGUGCUGCUAUUCAAGAAUAUUUAUAUCAGUAUCGUGUCUUAAAUAAAGUAUUCAUUGAUCAUUUGCUCCACCAUACACGAAAUUGAUAUACGAGACAUUGUGCCGCCACAUGUUUAUUAUUUAUUUCAUUUCAAAUUCGAUCAUUUUCUUCUACCGUUCUCAAGAAAUGGCUAAGAAUGUACUGUCAAUUUCAGUACCGUGACUUUCUGAAAAUGAGCGCCAGGUGCCAUACUGAUUGACAUAGGUACUUGAUAAUUGGAACACUUGGAGAGUACAUCAAUAUCUUUCUGCCAUAUUCUACCAAUGCGUCUACGAUCGUUGGGCUGAGGCUUGAGAAGCGCAUCUCAAUGGUCACUGUCCUACAUACAUAUCACUAUUUCGGUGAAGCCACUCAUAGAUAUUUAUUCCUUUCCGACCUUUAAUGGAACGUGAUGAAAAUAAAUAGUUGCAGCUGAGUGUAGUAACGACAGAGCUUGCAAACGAACGUACCGGAUACAAGCAGAACGGGGAUACCCUGCUGAGGAAGAAGACGAUUUAAUUCAUCAGCUUCGGUGGCCGGCAGAAGUAACCAUCGCCGUUUCACGAGAUGCCUCGCGGAGUCUCUGCAAUCUCUGGCAGAACAUUUGGAGACCAUCAACUGUCGGUG